GACGGAGGAUGCAAGCGUUAUCCGGAAUGAUUGGGCGUAAAGCGUCCGCAGGUGGCAGUUCAAGUCUGCUGUCAAAGACCGGGGCUUAACUUCGGAAAGGCAGUGGAAACUGAACAGCUAGAGUAUGGUAGGGGCAGAGGGAAUUCCUGGUGUAGCGGUGAAAUGCGUAGAUAUCUGGAGGAAUACCGGUGGCGAAGGCGGCAUCCUGGACCGAGAUUGACGCUGAUGAGCGAAAGCUAGGGGAGCAAACGGG
rnacentral:rRNA from 1 species